rnacentral:rRNA from 1 species
UGGCUCAGGACGAACGCUGGCGGCGUGCUAACACAUGCAAGUCGAGCGAGGAGAUUCCUCGGGAUGAUCCUAGCGGCGGACGGGUGAGUAACACGUGGGCAACCUGCCUCAUAGAGAGGAAUAGCCUUCCGAAAGGGAGAUUAAUACCUCAUAACAUUGCAGUUUCGCAUGGAACAGCAAUUAAAGGAGCAAUCCGCUAUGAGAUGGGCCCGCGGCGCAUUAGCUAGUUGGUGAGGUAACGGCUCACCAAGGCGACGAUGCGUAGCCGACCUGAGAGGGUGAUCGGCCACAUUGGGACUGAGACACGGCCCAGACUCCUACGGGAGGCAGCAGUGGGGAAUAUUGCACAAUGGGGGAAACCCUGAUGCCAGCAACGCCGCGUGAGUGAUGACGGCCUUCGGGUUGUAAAGCUCUGUCUUCAGGGACGAUAAUGACGGUACCUGAGGAGGAAGCCACGGCUAACUACGUGCCAGCCGCGGC